ACGCGGACAGGAUCAUGUCCGGGAACUGCGGGGUAGUGGCGAUCUGUGUUACCCAGCCGUUAUGGCCUUUGAGGGUCCCACGGAGGGUCAUCUGCUCGGUCAUGAUUGCAGCUGAUGCGAGUGUCGCCGCAGCGACAAGGAUGGCACCGGAUAGCUCAGGGAGCCAAGCACCACAGCGGCAGCCACGGCGGCCCUGCGGAGAAAAAGAAAGAGCGGCCUCCGCCGGAACCGGAAAUAGCCGGAGAGCAAGGCGGGGAUUCCCAUGAUUCACUGCUGCCCAAAGAUGGCGGCACUGGGUAGUGGGAGGAGCUGGGUGAGGAUCAUGAGACCCCGACUGAGGCUUGAGACCUGAAGCUGCCGUCAUCCUUCUUGCAGUUCAAGCCCCUACAGGGAGACUUUAGUAGUCGUUUUGGAUUUCAUGUUGGCUGAGAUGGUGAUGCCAACCAUAAAACAGGGAUUUGUGGACAACCAGACUCAGAAGGAUUGGGAUUUCCUUUGCAAGUCUUCUUUCAGUUCCUUCACAGGAACCAAAGAGGAUAUGUACUGAUGACCAUGAUGGUUGCUGGAGGACAACAGAGCUUAGCCAGUCACCUUGUAUUAUUGGAGAUUUCUUGAGGUGUAGCUUGGGGCAUGGGCCUGAGGGGCAGAGGGGCCACCUUGCCUGCUCCUCACUCACUGGAGUUGAGCCUCCCUUCAUCACUUAUUUUCUGAAGCUCCCUACCAGCAUCAGCAAAUGCUCCUGCCUAGUUGGGGCCAGGAAACCCUGCUUCUGAGGGGAGAAUCUGUACAUUUGACUCGAGGUCAGUGAGGGUUCCCAGCUCCUUCUGUCAGAGCCACCUCUCAGCCACAGGAUGUUUGAGUGUUAGCCAUGCUCCUCCCAAAAUAAGUCUGCAAAUGUUGGGAA